CGACCCGUAAAAUCACGUUCAAGUAAUCUAGCUAAUUAUCUAGCUACCUCAUUUGCGUUAGGUCAUAUUGCCAACAUAUUUAGUUAUGUUGGGAAAUAAUGGCAUCUAAUCUGUCACAUUGGUUUUUAACAACACGAAAAGUUGCUUUCUUCAACCUCUUUCUUGGUAACACCGCUCUCGCUUCACCAGAACCUGACUCUGGAGCUGUCAUGAUGUCCAUGUGUUCCUCAGCUGGACCAGAAGCAGAGGCCCUGCCAACGAGGAGGACCAUAAAGUAGAGUUGAGCAGGCAACUGGGAGAGAAGCUUGGACUCAAAGAUGGAGAGCAGGGCUUCUUGCGGCCAUGCCAGCAGGUCCUGUCUGUACAGCAGGUGUUUGUGGACCCACUCACCUCUGACGACUUGGAGAUCCUGGAGCUCCACAGUGCAGCAGCUCCUGGAGCAGAAUAGAGUGGUGUUUCCUGAUGCAGUGUUUCCUGUGUGGGUGGACCAGAGAACACUCAUCUACAUCCGAAUCGGGUCCUCUCUGGAGAGCAUUCAGAAGACUGGACUUCCUGUAGAACAAUGUCCCAACGCUGCUGGCCUCCAGUGCCCCCAGCAGUGGGGCGGGAUAGCAAUCCUAAAGAACAUGGUCAGGUACAUGCUAACAUGGAACUAUGACCCAGUGAAAGAGUCUCCCCCAUCUCCAACAUCUCUUCCCUCCUCAGUGACUCAGUCUUCAGAGUACGCCGAGCACCGCCCGUGUCUUCUGGCCCUCUGAGUGCCAGCCUUGGGGUUGACCUCAUUCUGACCUCCGGCCAGCAGAUGGGAGUGUAAUAUCAAUGUUGGCUAGCCAGCUGUGACAUAUGGCCUACUGUCCAAGGUGCUCUCUCCCAAGAGGGUGAGAGAGAGGGCCAAGCUGGCCAUGGAGAAGAAGAAGAGUGGAGGUGCUGGUGGUGCUCCCCAGCCUGGUGACGAUGCAGGGGACAGGGAAGAGGAAGCCGCUGUACAGUCGUGGCCAAAAGUUUUGAGAAUGACACAUAUUAAUUUUCAAAGUUUGCUGCCUCAGUUUGUAUGAUGGCAAUUGGCAUAUACUCCAGAAUAUUAUGAAGAGUGAUCAGAUGAAUUGCAAUUAAUUGCAAAGUCCCUCUUUGCCAUGCAAAUGAACUGAAUCCCCAAAAAACAUUUCCACUGCAUUUCAGCCCUGCAACAAAAGGACCAGCUAACAUCAUGUCAGUGAUUCUGGAGAUCACUGUCAUGCUGAUUGAGUUUGAAUAACAGACUGGAAGCUUCAAAAGGAGUGUGGUGCUUGGAAUCAUUGUUCUGCCUCUGUAAACCAUGGUUACCUGCAAGGAAACACGUGCCGUCAUCAUUGCUUUGCACAAAAAGGGCUUCACAGGCAAGGAUAUUGCUGCCAGUAAGAUUGCACCUAAAUUAACCAUUUAUCAGAUAAUCAAAAACUUAAAGGAAAGCGCCAGGACCGUCUCCUAAAGUUGAUUCAGCUGCGGGAUCGGGGCACCACCAGUACAGAGCUUGCUCAGGAAUGGCAGCAGGCAGGUGUGAGUGCAUCUGCACGCACAGUGAGGCGAAGACUUUUGGAGGAUGGCCUGGUCUCAAGAAGGGCAGCAAAGAAGCACUUCUCUCCAGGAAAAACAUCAGGGACUGACUGAUAUUCUGCAAAAGGUACAGGGAUUGGACUGCUGAGGACUGGGGUAAAGUUGUUUUCUCUGAUGAAUCCCCUUUCCGAUUGUUUGGGGCAUCCGGAAAAAAGCUUGUUCGGAGAAGACAAGGUGAGCGCUACCAUCAGUCCUGUGUCAUGCCAACAGUAAAGCAUCCUGAGACCAUUCAUGUGUGGGGUUGCUUCCCAGCUAAGGGAGUGGGUUCAAUCACAAUUUUGCCUAAGAACACAGCCAUGAAUAAAGAAUGGUACCAACACAUCCUCCAAGAGCAACUUCUCCCAACCACCCAGGAAAAGUUUGGUGACGAACAAUGCCUUUUCCAGCAUGAUGGAGCACCUUGCCAUAAUGCAAAAGUGGCUCGGGGAACAAAACAUCGAUAUUUUGGGUCCAUGGCCAGGAAACUCCCCAGACCUUAAUCCCAUUGAGAACUUGUGGUCAAUCAUCAAGAGGCGGGUGGACAAACAACAACCCACAAAUUCUGACAAACUCCAAGCAUUGAUUAUGCAAGAAUGGGCUGCCAUCAGUCAGGAUGUGGCCCAGAAGUUAAUUGACAGCAUGCCAGAGCGGAUUGCAGAGGUCUUGAAAAAGAAGUGUCAACACUGCAAAUAUUGACUCUUUGCAUCAACUUCAUGUAAUUGUCAAUAAAAGCCUUUGCCGCUUGUAAUUAUACUUAAGUAUUCAAUAGUAACAUCUGGCAAAAAUAUCUAAAGACACUGAGGCAGCAGACUGUGGAAAUUCAUAUUUGUAUAAUUCUCAAAACUUUUGUCCACGACUGUAGUCAAGGUGGUAUGUCACCAUACAGAGGAACUGAAAGGAUCUUUUAGAGAGGAAGAGCUCCACAGUGGAAGGGUCUGGGUGAUUACAUGUACAUUAGCCAUGGUCUAAAAGUUGGGCACAAUGUAGGCCUAAUCAAAUAAACUAUUCUCAAUUUUGUAAUUUUUAAAAUGUUAUUUAACCUUUAUUUAACUAGGCAAGUCAGUUAAGAACAAAUUCUUAUUUACAAUGACGGGCCUAGCAGAAGGCAAAAGGCCUCCAGCGGGGCUGGGAAUUAAAAAAUUAUAAUAUAGGACAAAACACACAUCACAAAAAUGAGACAACACUACAUAAAUAGUGACCUAAGAUAACAGCAUGGCAGCAACACAUGACAACAUAGCAUGGUAGCAACGCAUAACAACGCAUGGCAGUAGCACAACAUGGUAGCAGCACAGAACAUUAUUGAGCAAAAUCAUACUACCCAAUCAUAGUUUCCAUUAGCUCUUAGGACAUAGUUUACAGGUUUGUGUAAAUUGAUUCAUAUUGUAAACUGAUUUAUAUUGAAGCUAUAUGUAUUCAAGCAUAAUUGUAUGUCUCAGAUUCCACUAUCCCUGGGAACUAGGCUCCAUUUCGACCCACACUCAUCAGUGAGAAUCAAGCCAAUCAAAUCAACUCCUAAAGUAGUCACCGGUAUCUACCUGCAGCCUUUACAAGCAGGCUACCCUGCAACUAGGCUACCCUGCCGCCCCAAUUAAUCAGCUGUGUUUGCUAGGGAUGGAGAAAAAGUGUGACACCAAUCAGGCCCCAGAGGACUGGAGUUGCACACCCCUGCUAUAGAGGAACCGCAGAAGAUACAUAUGUAUGCAUAGGAGGUAAGGACAAGUAGGGCGGCAGGGUAGCCUAGUGGUUAGAGCGUUGGACUAUUAACCAGAAGGUUGCAAGUUCAAAUCCCCAAGCUGACAAGGUACAAAUCUGUUGUUCUGAACAGGCAGUUAACCCACUGUUCCUAGGCCAUCGUUGAAAAUAAGAAUUUGUUCUUAACUGACUUGCCUAGUUAAAUAAAGAUUAAAAUAAAGUAAUAAGGGAUAUUACUGACUGUGUUUGGGAAUAGUACUAUGUGGAUGAGAGUAUUGUGUACUUGACUAAUUAACUGGACAGGGUUUUAGCCCCGAUGACGUGUUAAGCGAAAGAGUUCAACAUAGGGUUUAAGUAUGGGAAAGGGAAAUAGUAAGAGUAGGAUGGAGGAUCUGUGCUUGGAACCAAAAGGGCCGUGUAGCGUAAUGGCAAAAAAAUUGGUAGGUGAUUACUGAACCAAACAGAAGACUGGACAUUUCCCGGUUGUUGCGAAACUGAGCACAGAAAGUCUGGAGUCUGUGAGAGGCCAACUUGAAAGAAAACAAAAUAAAGUUAAAGUGAAGUGGGACGAUUUUCAGGAAGUGGGAGAGAGAAGCAGAAAAUGCGAAGGAUCAAGCUGUAAGAGGACUGAUGGUAAAGCAAGUGGAACCGGAGAAGAAAGAGGAAGAAGAGAAAAAAAGAAGCCUGGCUGGUCUUUCUCCGAGCGGAACUCUUUCAUGGGGCCCCCCUUGUAUCCGCCACUGCCAAAUCCUCCAUCAGCAGACGAAGAUGGUGGCCUCCCGUCCCCUCAUAACCCAGAUGGGGUUGGACCUGUGCCAGGUGGAGGAGCUGCAGAAGAUGCUGGAGCUGAAGGCAGAAAGCCACCAGCAAAAACAAGGACCAGAGUGAACGAGCAGAGAGGGAGAGUGAAGAAGAGGAGCUAGAAGAGCUCAGAAAAGAACUGGAGAAAUGUAAGAGAAAAUAAAAAAGUAGAAAAACAAGAAGCAAAGUAAUGAGUGCAAGCAGGAGGAAUNNNNNNNNNNNNNNNNNNNNNNNNNNNNNNNNNNNNNNNNNNNNNNNNNNNNNNNNNNNNNNNNNNNNNNNNNNNNNNNNNNNNNNNNNNNCGUGGGAUGUU
rnacentral:lncRNA from 13 species